rnacentral:rRNA from 1 species
AUGGGUGAUAAGGUCCGUGUUCGAAAGGGAAACAGCCCAGACCACCAGCUAAGGUCCCAAAAUAUAUGUUAAGUGGAAAAGGAUGUGGCGUUGCCCAGACAACUAGGAUGUUGGCUUAGAAGCAGCCAUCAUUUAAAGAGUGCGUAAUAGCUCACUAGUCGAGUGACACUGCGCCGAAAAUGUACCGGGGCUAAACAUAUUACCGAAGCUGUGGAUUGUCCUUUGGACAAUGGUAGGAGAGCGUUCUAAGGGCGUUGAAGCAUGAUCGUAAGGACAUGUGGAGCGCUUAGAAGUGAGAAUGCCGGUGUGAGUAGCGAAAGACGGGUGAGAAUCCCGUCCACCGAUUGACUAAGGUUUCCAGAGGAAGGCUCGUCCGCUCUGGGUUAGUCGGGUCCUAAGCUGAGGCCGACAGGCGUAGGCGAUGGAUAACAGGUUGAUAUUCCUGUACCACCUAUAAUCGUUUUAAUCGAUGGGGGGACGCAGUAGGAUAGGCGAAGCGUGCGAUUGGAUUGCACGUCUAAGCAGUAAGGCUGAGUAUUAGGCAAAUCCGGUACUCGUUAAGGCUGAGCUGUGAUGGGGAGAAGACAUUGUGUCUUCGAGUCGUUGAUUUCACACUGCCGAGAAAAGCCUCUAGAUAGAAAAUAGGUGCCCGUACCGCAAACCGACACAGGUAGUCAAGAUGAGAAUUCUAAGGUGAGCGAGCGAACUCUCGUUAAGGAACUCGGCAAAAUGACCCCGUAACUUCGGGAGAAGGGGUGCUCUUUAGGGUUAACGCCCAGAAGAGCCGCAGUGAAUAGGCCCAAGCGACUGUUUAUCAAAAACACAGGUCUCUGCUAAACCGUAAGGUGAUGUAUAGGGGCUGACGCCUGCCCGGUGCUGGAAGGUUAAGAGGAGUGGUUAGCUUCUGCGAAGCUACGAAUCGAAGCCCCAGUAAACGGCGGCCGUAACUAUAACGGUCCUAAGGUAGCGAAAUUCCUUGUCGGGUAAGUUCCGACCCGCACGAAAGGCGUAACGAUUUGGGCACUGUCUCAACGAGAGACUCGGUGAAAUCAUAGUACCUGUGAAGAUGCAGGUUACCCGCGACAGGACGGAAAGACCCCGUGGAGCUUUACUGUAGCCUGAUAUUGAAAUUCGGCACAGCUUGUACAGGAUAGGUAGGAGCCUUUGAAACGUGAGCGCUAGCUUACGUGGAGGCGCUGGUGGGAUACUACCCUAGCUGUGUUGGCUUUCUAACCCGCACCACUUAUCGUGGUGGGAGACAGUGUCAGGCGGGCAGUUUGACUGGGGCGGUCGCCUCCUAAAAGGUAACGGAGGCGCUCAAAGGUUCCCUCAGAAUGGUUGGAAAUCAUUCAUAGAGUGUAAAGGCAUAAGGGAGCUUGACUGCGAGACCUACAAGUCGAGCAGGGUCGAAAGACGGACUUAGUGAUCCGGUGGUUCCGCAUGGAAGGGCCAUCGCUCAACGGAUAAAAGCUACCCCGGGGAUAACAGGCUUAUCUCCCCCAAGAGUUCACAUCGACGGGGAGGUUUGGCACCUCGAUGUCGGCUCAUCGCAUCCUGGGGCUGUAGUCGGUCCCAAGGGUUGGGCUGUUCGCCCAUUAAAGCGGUACGCGAGCUGGGUUCAGAACGUCGUGAGACAGUUCGGUCCCUAUCCGUCGUGGGCGUAGGAAAUUUGAGAGGAGCUGUCCUUAGUACGAGAGGACCGGGAUGGACAUACCUCUGGUGUACCAGUUGUCGUGCCAACGGCAUAGCUGGGUAGCUAUGUGUGGACGGGAUAAGUGCUGAAAGCAUCUAAGCAUGAAGCCCCCCUCAAGAUGAGAUUUCCCAACUUCGGUUAUAAGAUCCCUCAAAGAUGAUGAGGUUAAUAGGUUCGAGGUGGAAGCAUGGUGACAUGUGGAGCUGACGAAUACUAAUCGAUCGAAGACUUAAUCAA